rnacentral:rRNA from 1 species
GCCUAAUACAUGCAAGUCGAGCGAACAGAUGAGAAGCUUGCUUCUCUGAUGUUAGCGGCGGACGGGUGAGUAACACGUGGGUAACCUACCUAUAAGACUGGGAUAACUCCGGGAAACCGGGGCUAAUACCGGAUAAUAUUUUGAACCGCAUGGUUCAAUAGUGAAAGACGGUUUCGGCUGUCACUUAUAGAUGGACCCGCGCCGUAUUAGCUAGUUGGUAAGGUAACGGCUUACCAAGGCGACGAUACGUAGCCGACCUGAGAGGGUGAUCGGCCACACUGGAACUGAGACACGGUCCAGACUCCUACGGGAGGCAGCAGUAGGGAAUCUUCCGCAAUGGGCGAAAGCCUGACGGAGCAACGCCGCGUGAGUGAUGAAGGUCUUCGGAUCGUAAAACUCUGUUGUUAGGGAAGAACAAAUUUGUUAGUAACUGAACAAGUCUUGACGGUACCUAACCAGAAAGCCACGGCUAACUGCGUGCCAGCAGCCGCGGUAAUACGUAGGUGGCAAGCGUUAUCCGGAAUUAUUGGGCGUAAAGCGCGCGUAGGCGGUUUCUUAAGUCUGAUGUGAAAGCCCACGGCUCAACCGUGGAGGGUCAUUGGAAACUGGGAAACUUGAGUGCAGAAGAGGAGAGUGGAAUUCCAUGUGUAGCGGUGAAAUGCGCAGAGAUAUGGAGGAACACCAGUGGCGAAGGCGGCUCUCUGGUCUGUAACUGACGCUGAUGUGCGAAAGCGUGGGGAUCAAACAGGAUUAGAUACCCUGGUAGUCCACGCCGUAAACGAUGAGUGCUAAGUGUUAGGGGGUUUCCGCCCCUUAGUGCUGCAGCUAACGCAUUAAGCACUCCGCCUGGGGAGUACGACCGCAAGGUUGAAACUCAAAGGAAUUGACGG